UCUUAGUUGUUUCCCUUUGGGAUUACCCUCUAAGAAGACUGCCUCGGAUAACGGGGAGAAGUGGGAUGACGUCAAGUCCGCAUGCUCCUUACGUCUAGGGCUACACACGUCCUACAAUGGGGUCGACAAUGGGAUGCAAUAUCGCAAGAUGGAGCCAAUCCCCAAACGGCCUCUCAGUUCGGAUUGUAGUCUGCAACUCGACUACAUGAAGUUGGAAUCGCUAGUAAUGGCAGAUCAGCAUGCUGCCGUGAAUACGUUCCCGGGUCUU
rnacentral:rRNA from 1 species